rnacentral:rRNA from 1 species
GUGGGGAAUUUUGGACAAUGGGCGCAAGCCUGAUCCAGCAAUGCCGCGUGCAGGAAGAAGGCCUUCGGGUUGUAAACUGCUUUUGUACGGAACGAAACGGUCCUGGUUAAUACCUGGGGCUAAUGACGGUACCGUAAGAAUAAGCACCGGCUAACUACGUACCAGCAGCCGCGGUAAUACGUAGGGUGCGAGCGUUAAUUGGAAUUACUGGGCGUAAAGAGUGCGCAGGCGGUGCUGUAAGACAGGCGUGAAAUCCCCGGGCUCAACCUGGGAAUUGCGCUUGUGACUGCAGUGCUGGAGUACGGCAGAGGGUGAUGGAAUUCCGCGUGUAGCAGUGAAAUGCGUAGAUAUGCGGAGGAACACCGAUGGCGAAGGCAAUCCCCUGGACCUGUACUGACGCUCAUGCACGAAAGCGUGGGGAGCAAACAGGAUUAGAAACCCGUGUAGUCC